rnacentral:rRNA from 1 species
UCCUACGGGAGGCAGCAGGCGCGAAAACUCUACAAUGCAGGCAACUGCGAUAGGGGGACAUCGAGUGGCAUCCACCUUGGGUGCCUGUCCCACCGUCUAAAAAACGGUGGUUAGCAAGGGCCGGGCAAGACCGGUGCCAGCCGCCGCGGUAAUACCGGCGGCUCGAGUGGUGGCCGAUAUUAUUGAGUCUAAAGGGUCCGUAGCCGGCUUUGCAAGUCCCCUGGGAAAUCCAGCGGCUUAACCGUUGGGCUUUCAUGGGAUACUACAUUGCUUGGGACUGGGAGAGGUAGGAGGUACUCGGGGGGUAGGGGUGAAAUCCUGUAAUCCCCCGGGGACCACCGGUGGCGAAGGCGUCCUACCAGAACAGGUCCGACGGUGAGGGACGAAAGCUAGGGGCACGAACCGGAUUAGAUACCCCGGUAGC